GCCCCCUGGUCGGCAGCCGCCAUGCGCCCACACCUCCCCCAACUGCCUUCCAGGCCUCAGAGCCUCCCCGCAGCCCUGGCCAGAAAACUCCCAUUGCUCAGGGCUGUGAAGACUGGGGAUGCGUUCCCGUCCCUCUAGGGGCCAUUGUCCCUCCUCGCGGGCCCCACCCCCACCCCCCACGGGCUCUCGCCGUGGGUGUGGGGAGACACGGGCACUCACUUUCCUUUCUGCCUUCUGUGCCCGCAGCGUUUGUCCCGUUUUUGUGGGUCCCUCUCGAGUCCCCCCUCCGCAGAGCCCCACUAGGUCCCUUCUGCCACAAGCUGGCGGUGGUUUUUUUUUUUUUUUUUUAACAAGUCACCUGCGGUUUGCAGGCCUGCUUCCCCCUCAAGUGGCAUUUCCCAGUUGCGGGGAGCAGAGAAUCCUGGAACCUCUUGCAUCAGCCGUUUUGCAUGAGGGGUGGAGUGAGGACGGCCGGAGCCGCUGUCGGUGCGUCCACCUGGCUCCCGGGUUCACUGAGGCGAGGAAACGAACAAACGUGCCCCAGGGGUUUCUUUCCCAACAGAAGGCGCUCCGCCUUCUCCGCGCAGGCUGGCACUUGCAAAGAAGGAAAGGAAGGAAGACAGGGAAAGGAAGAGGGAGGCUGAGGCAGCACCCACGUCUCCGCAAUUCAGCGUCAUUUCACACAGGGUCUGUGAUCCCGAGUCGCCUCUGGGGAUCGCCUCUGAGGCACCGGUCUGUGCUUCAGCAAGGACGCCCUGCACCCCACUGACCGCGGGCCGCUAGCCUGGGAAUGAGGCCCUCCUCAGCAAGUCAGGGGCUGGGGGAGCCUUGAGGAAGCAGCUCAGGUGAGCCGGCCCUGAGAAGGGGUUGAAACCUUCCGUCGGGUCAAAGGAAAGUCGGGUGACCCAGCGAUUCCACUCCCCGGUGUGUACCCCAAAGAGGUGAACGUUGGUAUUCAAACCAGCACUGUUCACAACGGCUAAGAGUGGAAACGACAAUGUCCGUCCAUGGACAAAUGGACCAAAAGACAGCAGACCCGCACCGUGGAACACUACGCAGCCAUGAAGAGGAACAAAGUGCUGGCAUUCGCAGGGAUCCACCUUGAAAACAUGGUCAGUGACACAAGCCAGUCACCGGAGGCCGCAUACUAUCGGAUUCUAUGACGUGUCGAGGACAGGCGGGUCCACUAGACAGGAACUAGACGGUGUUGCCCAGGUUGGGGUAGGGCACGGGCAUGACUGCUGAUGGCUACGGGGCAUGUUUCUCAGAGAGGAGAAUGUUCUGGAACCAGACAGAGGUGGUGGUUGUACACGACUGUGAAUUUACUAAAUGCCACAGAAUCGUACACUUUAAAGUGGUCGGACUUAUGUUGUGCGAAUUUUACCGCAACUAAAAAAAAUAAUCCUUUAGGGGCGCCUGGGUGGCUCAGUCAGUUGAGCAUCCGACUUCGGCUCGGGUCACGAUCUCGCGUCUGUGGGUUCGAGCCCCGCGUCGGGCUCUGUGCUGACUGCUCAGAGCCUGGAGCCUGCUUUGGAUUCUGUGUCUCCCUCUCUCUCUGCCCCUCCCCCAGUUGUGCUCUGUCUCUCUCUCUCUCUCUCUCUCUCUCUCUCUCUCUCAAAAAUAAAUACACAUUAAUAAUAAUAAUAAUAAUAAUC
rnacentral:lncRNA from 1 species